rnacentral:rRNA from 1 species
GACGAACCGUACAAACGUUAUUCGGAAUCACUGGGCUUAAAGGGUGCGUAGGCGGUGCAGCAAGUAGGGUGUGAAAUCCCUCGGCUCAACCGAGGAACUGCGCUCUAAACUACUGUGCUAGAGGGAGAUAGAGGUGAGCGGAACUUAGGGUGGAGCGGUGAAAUGCGUUGAUAUCCUAAGGAACACCGGUGGCGAAAGCGGCUCACUGGAUCUCUUCUGACGCUGAGGCACGAAAGCUAGGGUAGCAAACGGG